rnacentral:rRNA from 1 species
GCUGGCGGCGCGCUUAACACAUGCAAGUCGCACGAGAAAGCGGGAGCAAUCUCGCAAGUACAGUGGCGUACGGGUGAGUAACACGUGGGUGAUCUACCCUUUAGUGGGGAAUAACGCUGGGAAACCGGCGCUAAUACCGCAUAAGCUCGAGAGAGGAAAGCAGCAAUGCGCUGAAGGAGGAGCCCGCGGCCGAUUAGCUAGUUGGGAGGGUAAAAGCCUACCAAGGCAUAGAUCGGUAGCCGGCCUGAGAGGGCACACGGCCACACUGGCACUGAAACACGGGCCAGACUCCUACGGGAGGCAGCAGUGGGGAAUCUUGCACAAUGGGGGAAACCCUGAUGCAGCGACGCCGCGUGAGCGAUGAAGCCCUUCGGGGUGUAAAGCUCUUUCGGCAGGGACGAUAAUGACGGUACCUGCAGAAGCAGCUGCGGCUAACUACGUGCCAGCAGCCGCGGUAAUACGUAGGCAGCGAGCGUUGUUCGGAGUUACUGGGCGUAAAGGGUGUGUAGGCGGUUUUCUAAGUUUGGUGUGAAAUCUCCCGGCUCAACCGGGAGGGUGCGCCGAAAACUGGGAGACUAGAGUGCGGGAUGGGAGAGUAGAAUU